CGGGACGGGUGAGUAAUGUCUGGGAAACUGCCUGAUGGAGGGGGAUAACUACUGGAAACGGUAGCUAAUACCGCAUAACGUCGCAAGACCAAAGAGGGGGACCUUCGGGCCUCUUGCCAUCGGAUGUGCCCAGAUGGGAUUAGCUAGUAGGUGGGGUAACGGCUCGCCUAGGCGACGAUCCCUAGCUGGUCUGAGAGGAUGGCCAGCCACACUGGAACUGAGACACGGUCCAG
rnacentral:rRNA from 1 species